GACGAACGCUGGCGGCGUGCUUAACACAUGCAAGUCGAACGGAAAGGCCCUGCUUUUGUGGGGUGCUCGAGUGGCGAACGGGUGAGUAACACGUGAGUAACCUGCCCUUGACUUUGGGAUAACUUCAGGAAACUGGGGCUAAUACCGUAUAGGAGCUCCUGCUGCAUGGUGGGGGUUGGAAAGUUUCGGCGGUUGGGGAUGGACUCGCGGCUUAUCAGCUUGUUGGUGGGGUAGUGGCUUACCAAGGCUUUGACGGGUAGCCGGCCUGAGAGGGUGACCGGCCACAUUGGGACUGAGAUACGGCCCAGACUCCUACGGGAGGCAGCAGUGGGGAAUAUUGCACAAUGGGCGGGAGCCUGAUGCAGCAACGCCGCGUGCGGGAUGACGGCCUUCGGGUUGUAAACCGCUUUCGCCUGUGACGAAGCGUGAGUGACGGUAAUGGGUAAAGAAGCACCGGCUAACUACGUG
rnacentral:rRNA from 1 species